rnacentral:rRNA from 1 species
ACGUAACUCAUGGCGGCGUGGCCUAAUACAUGCAAGUCGAGCGGAACCAUUGGAGCUUGCUCCUUUGGUUUAGCGGCGGACGGGUGAGUAACACGUGGGCAACCUGCCCUGCAGAUCGGGAUAACUCCGGGAAACCGGUGCUAAUACCGAAUAGUUUGCGGCCUCUCAUGAGGCUGCACGGAAAGACGGUUUCGGCUGUCACUGCAGGAUGGGCCCGCGGCGCAUUAGCUAGUUGGUGGGGUAACGGCCUACCAAGGCGACGAUGCGUAGCCGACCUGAGAGGGUGAUCGGCCACACUGGGACUGAGACACGGCCCAGACUCCUACGGGAGGCAGCAGUAGGGAAUCUUCCGCAAUGGACGAAAGUCUGACGGAGCAACGCCGCGUGAGUGAAGAAGGUUUUCGGAUCGUAAAACUCUGUUGUGAGGGAAGAACAAGUAUCAACUAACUAUUGGUACCUUGACGGUACCUCACCAGAAAGCCACGGCUAACUACGUGCCAGCAGCCGCGGUAAUACGUAGGUGGCAAGCGUUGUCCGGAAUUAUUGGGCGUAAAGCGCGCGCAGGCGGUCCUUUAAGUCUGAUGUGAAAGCCCACGGCUCAACCGUGGAGGGUCAUUGGAAACUGGGGGACUUGAGUGCAGAAGAAGAAAGUGGAAUUCCACGUGUAGCGGUGAAAUGCGUAGAGAUGUGGAGGAACACCAGUGGCGAAGGCGACUUUCUNGUCUGUAACUGACGCUGAGGCGCGAAAGCGUGGGGAGCAAACAGGAAUAGAUACCCUGGUAGUCACGCCGUAACGAUGAGUCUAGGUGUAGGGGGUUCCGCCCUUAGUCUCAGCUACGCC